rnacentral:lncRNA from 1 species
ACCAAGAUUCUACAGAGCUGGCUGGGUCAGGAUUCUAAGACAGUUAGGCAGCUGGGAAACUGUCUUUCUGAAGCUGGGAUUCAGACAGAGAGGCUGUGUGUCAGAGUCUCCCUCAAGCAAUUACCUCUGAAGCUGCCUGACUUGGAUAAUCCUCAAGAAAAAAGGUUGAGGCUCUGACCAACAUAUCUGUACCUGCUAGGAGUCUUUCCAUUUAAUUUGCUGUCUGUUCAGUUGACAAAAUAGACACCGAGGCAGGAUGGUAUUAUCCUACUGAAAAAUAGGAGUGAUCCCAAGCCUAGAUCAUAGUAUUUCUAUGCCUUUUGCAGCCUUCCUCUUUAGUCCUUCCUCUCCCCAAAAGGAGCAAGUUUAUUCCCUGGGAAGUGUGGUGACCAGCAAGUCAAAGAUCAAAGCAAUGCUUGAAUACCACCAACAAAGGCAUGGUGUGAGGAGGAGAAGAAAAACAGAACAGAUUGAGAUCUAUAUCCUUAGGAAGAAUGUCCACACUGAUGAAAUAACGAAUCCUUCAUGUGCCACCAAGAAUCAGGGAGCUAAAGAAAAAGAGGGAGCAGAUGUCAAAAUCGGGCAGCCAAUUACAGUGGUGGUAGCAACAGCAGAAGAAAAGGUCAUUAGGAACCUAAUGGGACAGAUCUGUGCACCUAGCAAGCAAACAGGCUCUGGGAUGGAGAAAGGUCUAGAGGCACAGUUACCUUGACUCAAUUGUUCUGUGGAAGUUUCAAAAGCAAACAAGAGCCACCAGGAGAUCUGUGACAGUCCUAAUCCCAGAGCCUCGAGUCACCUGAGAGAAGGACCCACUGUAGAUUUACCCACAUCCCAUCUCUUCAAGUUUAGCAGCUGGUCAGCGCGUCAGUCAGUCAACAAGUGUUGAGUAAGCAAUUACUGUGUCACAGGCACUGUACGAAAUACUGGUUAUAAAAGAGAAAGCAAAAUCUUCUCUGAAUUUUUCUCUAAUGUAAGCAAUACAUGUCUUGUUUCACAGUGUGAAGGCCAGGGAAAUAUUUAUUAUAUGAUAAUAUGUGUUCAAUCUCUAUCAUGGUUCUCAGGGAGGGGAGAAAGUGGAAGUGGGAGAAAGGACAUGGAUUUCAAAAUGUCAGAAAACAAAUAUUAAAAAAUUAUAUUGACAUGUAAAAAAUUAAAACAAAACAAAGGAGCUAAAAAAGGCAAAAACAAAGUCUCUGCUCUCAAGCUCAUAAGCCAGUGAGGGAAAUAGCAUGUAAAAAAACAAAUAAACAAUUAUAGACAGUGUACA